CUGGGUCAGAUCUGUGCAGGGAUUUAAUAGGGAUCCUGAUAGGAGAUACAGUACCAUAGUAGCAGAGCAAUCCUGUACUGAACCAUGUCCUGGGCUGUCCUCCUCCUCUCUCUCACCUCUCUCUGUACAUAUUCAGCCGCCCAAGUCUCUCUUACUCAGCCAGUGUCUGAAUCAGUGAAAUUGGGGGAGACAGUGAGAAUCUCCUGCACACUCAGUGGUUACAGUAUCAGUGAUCGUGCUGUGCACUGGUUCCAGCAGAAAGCAGGGAAUCGCCCCAGAUACUUACUGUGGUUUAAUUCUGACUCAAGCAAACACCAGGGAGAUGGGGUACCUGAUCGGUUCUCUGGAUCCAAAGAUUCCCCUAAUAAUGUUGGCUAUUUAACCAUUAAAGGAGCCUUACUAGAAGAUGAUGCAGAUUAUUACUGUGCUAUAUGGUAUUCCAGCUCGUUUAUAUUCGGUGGUGGAACCCAGCUGACCGUCCUCACAGGUGACGUGAAAGCCCCUUCAGUGUCCAUCUUUGCUCCCUCCGAGGAAGAAAUAGCCACCAAAAAGGCAACAGUGGUCUGCAGUCUGAGUGAUUUCACCCCCAGAGGUGCCACAGUGAAGUGGCUGGUGGAUGGGAAAGAAAAGACUGACAGUGUUCAGUCCUCAGGGCUCAGCAAACAGAGUGACAACCUGUAUAUGGAGAGCAGUUAUCUGUCCCUGACUGCAGAUCAAUGGCUCAAACAUGAAACCUAUUCCUGCAAAGUCUCCCAUCAGGGCAAGGAAAUAAUCCAGACGCUGAAAAGAUCAGACUGUUCAUAACUCUCCAACAACCCACCACUGUCUAUUCCUUUUUGCCACUUUUUAUCCAUAAAGGGAACUUAUUGCAUAUAAAAGAACUUGUGCAUGUGUAAUAAAAUUAUAGUCCUAAGUGUUUCUAACCAUUCAGUAAUUGAUGUGAUUUUAGUCAAACAACAUGAGAACAUCUACAUUUAUUGAACAGCAAGAUUUAUAUGGAAAUGCCAGUUCCUUUUAAACCUGUGAAGCGCUGCAGAAGUUUGAAAUGAAAAAUUAAGUUGAUAUACACUUUGGUGUUAUGUUUUAGAACAUGUGAUUCAGCAAUGUACUAAUUUUGUUCCUUGAUCUUCUGUAUUCACUUCUUUAUUUCAGUAGAAUUAUGCUUCUUAAAGCAAUGCUUUACAUUUUAAUGUCACAGUGUUAGGACCCUCCUGUUCUACUUGUAACUCUUAUGUCUAUAUUAAUCCUUCAAUAAAAAAUCUGUUUAUCAAA